rfam:Rhodocyclales bacterium RIFCSPLOWO2_02_FTLL_63_24 rifcsplowo2_02_scaffold_1563, whole genome shotgun sequence.
GCCCAGGUGGCGGAAUUGGUAGACGCACCAGAUUUAGGUUCUGGCGCCGCGAGGCGUGGGGGUUCGAGUCCCUUCCUGGGCA